rnacentral:rRNA from 1 species
GAUGAACGCUAGCGGGAGGCUUAACACAUGCAAGUCGAGGGGCAGCACGAUGUAGCAAUACGUUGGUGGCGACCGGCGCACGGGUGAGUAACACGUAUGCAACCUACCCUGUACAGGGGGAUAACCCGAGAAAUUCGGACUAAUAUCCCAUAAUGAUAUUUGAGGGCAUCCUUGGAUAUUUAAAGCUCAGGCGGUACGGGAUGGGCAUGCGGAACAUUAGCUAGUUGGGAGGGUAACGGCCUACCAAGGCAACGAUGUUUAGGGGACCUGAGAGGGUGAUCCCCCACACUGGUACUGAGACACGGACCAGACUCCUACGGGAGGCAGCAGUGAGGAAUAUUGGUCAAUGGGCGCAAGCCUGAACCAGCCAUCCGCGUGCAGGAAGACGG